rnacentral:rRNA from 1 species
AGCGACAGAAGGGAGCUUGCUCCCGGAUGUUAGCGGCGGACGGGUGAGUAACACGUGGGUAACCUGCCUGUAAGACUGGGAUAACUCCGGGAAACCGGAGCUAAUACCGGAUAGUUCCUUGAACCGCAUGGUUCAAGGAUGAAAGACGGUUUCGGCUGUCACUUACAGAUGGACCCGCGGCGCAUUAGCUAGUUGGUGGGGUAAUGGCUCACCAAGGCGACGAUGCGUAGCCGACCUGAGAGGGUGAUCGGCCACACUGGGACUGAGACACGGCCCAGACUCCUACGGGAGGCAGCAGUAGGGAAUCUUCCGCAAUGGACGAAAGUCUGACGGAGCAACGCCGCGUGAGUGAUGAAGGUUUUCGGAUCGUAAAGCUCUGUUGUUAGGGAAGAACAAGUGCGAGAGUAACUGCUCGCACCUUGACGGUACCUAACCAGAAAGCCACGGCUAACUACGUGCCAGCAGCCGCGGUAAUACGUAGGUGGCAAGCGUUGUCCGGAAUUAUUGGGCGUAAAGGGCUCGCAGGCGGUUUCUUAAGUCUGAUGUGAAAGCCCCCGGCUCAACCGGGGAGGGUCAUUGGAAACUGGGAAACUUGAGUGCAGAAGAGGAGAGUGGAAUUCCACGUGUAGCGGUGAAAUGCGUAGAGAUGUGGAGGAACACCAGUGGCGAAGGCGACUCUCUGGUCUGUAACUGACGCUGAGGAGCGAAAGCGUGGGGAGCGAACAGGAUUAGAUACCCUGGUAGUCCACGCCGUAAACGAUGAGUGCUAAGUGUUAGGGGGUUUCCGCCCCUUAGUGCUGCAGCUAACGCAUUAAGCACUCCGCCUGGGGAGUACGGUCGCAAGACUGAAACUCAAAGGAAUUGACGGGGGCCCGCACAAGCGGUGGAGCAUGUGGUUUAAUUCGAA